rnacentral:rRNA from 1 species
UACAGAGGGUGCGAGCGUUAAUCGGAAUUACUGGGCGUAAAGCGUGCGUAGACGGUUAUUUAAGUCGGGUGUGAAAGCCCCGGGCUCAACCUGGGAAUUGCAUUCGAGACUGAAUAGCUAGGGUACGGUAGAGGGAAGUGGAAUUUCCGGUGUAGCGGUGAAAUGCGUAGAUAUCAAGAGGAACACCUGAGGUGAAGACGGGUUGCUGGGCUGACACUGACGCUGAGGCGCGAAAGCUAGGGUAGCAAACGGG